rnacentral:misc_RNA from 1 species
GAUGAAGAACGCAGCGAAAUGCGAUAAGUAAUGUUAAUUGCAGAAUUCAGUGAAUCAUCGAAUCUUUGAACGCACAUUGCGCCCGCUAGUAUUCUGGCGGGCAUGCCUGUCCGAGCGUCAUUUCAACCCUCAAGCCCCCGGGCUUGGUGUUGGGGAUCGGCGAGCCUCCGCGCCCGCCGUCCCCUAAAUCUAGUGGCGGUCUCGCUGUAGCUUCCUCUGCGUAGUAGCACACCUCGCACUGGGAAACAGCGCGGCCACGCCGUUAAACCCCCAACUUCUGAACGUUUGACCUCGGAUCAGGUAGGAAUACCCGCUGAACUUAAGCAUAUCAAUAAGCGGAGGA